ensembl:lncRNA
UCAGUCUCAACUUAAAGCUAGAUGGAGUGGAGGGUGGAGAGAGAAUUGGGACAGGAAUAUUUUUUUGUCUGUUCUUCAAAACCUCUGAUAAUUAUUCCUUUACUCCAUUGUUAAGAUAUUUGUAGUUACUCAACUCCAGCCAGCGGAAGGAACCCUAAGGCACCACACCUGGAUGCCUUCAUUUCUGUAUCUUGAACACUGAACAAUGCCAUCUUCCUUCAGAGAUGGUCUCUGCCAGCUACUGAAGAUCUAGUGACUAAGAGAGUCUGUGUGCCUCUCCAUAUGCUAUAGAUUGGAGCAGCAUUUUGGACCAGGAGUUUCAUCAUCUUCUGGACACUUAUUAGAAAUGUGGCCUGGCACAGUGGUGCACAGCUGUAAUCCCAGCUACUCAAGGGGCUGAGGCAGGAAGAUUGUAAGUUCAAGGCCAACCUGGCCAACUUAACAAGACCCUGUCUCAGAAUAAAAUGGGGCCUGGGGAUAUAGCUCAGUGGCAGAGCACUUGCCCAGCAUGUAUAAGCCCCUGGGUUCAUCCCCAGUACCUCACAUGCACACACACGAGCACACGAGCACACACACAAAGCUGCAGCCACUAAGGCUCCACUCCAGGCUUACCGAAUCAAAACUUUUAAACAAGAUCCUACACGAUUUGUUUGCACAUCAAAGCUUGAGAAGCACUGCUCUAUUUCUUGCUUUAUUUUGUUAACCAAACCUAGAAAUAAUUGGAACCCCUUCCAGAGUACCUAAGAGGGGUUAAAUACAUCCUCGAUUCAGGCUUUGUACGCCAGGGUCUGUUCGAUAAGGAGUAAGGCAUCCAGAGUUUUAGCCUCUUCUUGGGUGAGUGGCCUUGAAGAGGUGACUCCUUAUUGUGCAUUUCAGUAGCACUCUAGAUUAACAAAGCACUUCUCCAUCAAUUUAUUAGUGAUUCUCGCAAACUCUCUACAUCAUCUUUCCAAGCAAUAAAUCGUGGUGAGUUUUCUUGGUAACCCGUAAAUGAUUGAUAAAUUGUAAACAAAUGGGUUGUAAAGGUAACAUAGCAGAAAAGUGUUUCAAUUUGCCUUCAUCUGUCGUCAUGCAUUACUUAGGGGAGAAACCAAGUGCUUCACAGACUUGAUCCUGUAUUUAGAACAUAAUUCUAAACAGAGGCAAAGAGAGAACAACUUUAUAUUCCGUUAUACAAACCAUUAGUUUACUAACGCAAGGUAGGUUUGACAAGGUGGUCUGUCCAUCCAGUGACAUUAGCUCAACUGAAAUCUAACAUCAACAAAAUUAAACAAAUGCUUUCCAACCUCUGACUUACAUGCGCCUCUAUUGAGUUUUUGUGUUCACCUAGAGACUAAGCAUAUUUUGGUGGUAGUUUACAGCUAGCCUCAGUUUGAGUUGAUCAUAAAAUAAAACGAUAAAUAUGGACUCCAAUUUUUCUUCUGUAUAAAUUGAUUCUUGAAACAGCUUCCUCCUUGCCCAGAGAAAGAGUGAAGGGCGACUAUAACACAUUCUAUCCAUCUGCACACAUUCAUCUCCAAGAAUCUCUGCAAGCUCUCCACUUCUCCCC